UACAGAGGGUGCAAGCGUUGUUCGGAAUUAUUGGGCGUAAAGCGCGUGUAGGCGGCUUGGUAAGUCAGACGUGAAAUCCCUCGGCUUAACCGGGGAACUGCGUCUGAUACUGGAUGGCUAGAGUUUGGGAGAGGGAUGCGGAAUUCCAGGUGUAGCGGUGAAAUGCGUAGAUAUCUGGAGGAACACCGGUGGCGAAGGCGGCAUCCUGGACCAACACGUGACGCUGAGGAGCGAAAGCCAGGGGAGCAAACGGG
rnacentral:rRNA from 1 species